CUCAUGAAGGAUGUGACGCUGAAGCCGCAGGAGCGGAGAGAGAAGUGGGAGAGACAGGUCGGGAAGAGGAGGAGGGAGCUGGAGAAUGGCAAGGCGGCGGACCUCGCCGAAAACGGUUACGACAACGAUGGAGGGAGCUCGGAGCGUGAGCGGGACCGGGGGAAGGAUCGGGCGAAGAAGCGAAUAUUGCUGAAGAAAAGCAAACAGAUGAAGGGAUUGCUGGCCCGCGCUGGCAGAAAGAGUGACGAUGAAGCACUGCCAGAGAUGGACGGACCCCAGCGGAGCAACUCCAAAGACCACCUGAGUGAGGUGAGAUCACUGCCUGCCUGUCCUACGUUACUCUCUUGAUAUCGAGGCAGGAUCCACCCAAAAAUC
rnacentral:lncRNA from 1 species